ensembl:lncRNA novel transcript
AGAGGCGGGGAGGCAGGUGGUCCAGGUGCGCCCCUGCCCGGGGGGGCGAGGCGUCCGGCGGGAAGGCUGCAGCGACCGCAUGGAGGAAGGGGCGGCAGGUGCGCGGCGCUGGAAGAACCGGCGGCUGGGAGAGCAUCUCUGCCUCGCCCAUCUUGCCCCCUCCCCACCUCCGCUCUGGCGUUGGGACGGGAGGAGGAGGGAGGAAUGGAACCAGGGAGUCCGAAGUACAGCUUUGACAACUGUCGCGCUGGCCGGCUGAUCUGGGCACAACGGUUUUGACACGCAUCAAGUGGAGAAUUUGCUCAACUUUAAUUUUUCAGUCAGAAUUGUGAUCAGCAGAUCUGUUUUCACUACCUCAAGGUACACAGCCCCAAACACUGCCCAUCCCCAGCUCCCCAUGCACAUCUUUCCUGUUGGAGAAACCAGGAGAGAGAUGAGCAUUUCUGUUCCAGUUCCGAACUCCCCAGAGAGAUUCUGAUGGGCCCAGCUUAGGUCAGGGGAUAGUCUUCACUCAAGAGUUCCUGAGAUAACAGAGACUGGAGUAGCAGGCAUUGCAGAACUGAUUUUAUAAAGGAAGAACGUGUACCAUAAAUAUUGCUAGUUAAGAGCAUGUAUACUGUUGAGUUCUACCUCCUCAGAAGUCUAAAAGGUUUCCUUCCUUUGAGGGUGAAGAAGCAGUAACAGGCGUCCUCCAUCAGACCCCUCUCUGUGGGCACCUAGAACACUUCCCAUUGACGUCUGCUUCAAGGGGAGGUCACUAAAAGUGCCCCACAUGAUGCAGCAGACAUUUCGCUGGUCCCAGUGCCCUCCCCAAGACCUUCCAGAUGGUGAAGUGUUAAGAGUCUAAAAUGGAGUAAAUGAUCUGCAGAAAUUCAGUGGUGUCAGAGGAGCCAGUCCAAAGUCACUCGGCUCUAAACGCUGCGAUUCUAUUAUUUUAAUGAUGCCCAGGAACACAAAGAGGCACGACAGACCCAGAGAUAUGGCACGCACACUUGGGAAACCCAGAAUAAUGGGAACUCAAAACUGUUAUUCAUUCGAGAGCUCAUCAGUCCAAGAAGAUGCCACCUUGGUCAGAUGUGGAUGAGGCAUGACUGGACCGACCCUGUGGGCUCGGCACCCACCUGUGCUAUAAACUGUUCAUGUGAAAACUGUGUGCCCCUGGGUUGUCUGACCUGCAGCUGUACCGCACUUUUAGUACAAUGCCUGCCACCCACAGGAGUGUUGUCACAAUUGAAGUGAAUGCUAUAAAGCAUUGUGAGCAACUCAAAAGAAGGGUGCUGCUUAACUACCCAAAAUUACUAUACACCCACAGGCUGGAUGUUGCAGAAGAAACUUUUCUCUCUCUUUUCCUUUCCCCUGAGCAUUCUUCCAUAUCUCCCACCACAUGAGAGCAAACAACUGAUUGGGGUUUCUGAUAACUUUGGAGAUGUGACAUCAGAAUAGAGGAAAAACGUUCAGGACUCUUGAAGAGUUAAAAUAUUCAUUAGUAUCAAGCAGGACAGGAAUUAACUGCAUGAACUGAACUAAUAGGAGACUGAAGUGAUCUUUUUGACUUUUUGCUUAAAAUGUUGCUAAUCCUUUGUUUUGCUUUUCAGAGUCAAGGAGACUUUUGAGCUAUUGACAGCUUUUAACAAUUAAGUAAAGUAUACUCCUAUGAACAAAAUUUGGAGCAUAUUUGUUUCUCUCUACCUGAUUCCAAAAUUUGGAAACUAUUUGCGAGUAUUCUUAAUUUAUGGCAAUAUAGUUAUUUGCAUAAGUGCAACAAGAAUCUGUUUUCUUUCGUAAGAGGACACAGUUGGAAAAACUGGUUAUUUUACCAAGGGCUUUGACUGGAAUGGUAUGCUCUCCUUUAAGGAAUCAAACUUGACUUAUGGAGCCAAUAAAGCCCUUGGAAAACUGGCCUCAUAUUUUGCAUACACAGUCCCUGUACAGGGUUUCUGAUCUGUGGUAAGCAAACAAUGUCACUUUCCAAGAGGCCAGGAACCCCAAGUUAUCUUGGAACCUCAAGAGGAGAGGAAUUCACCCAAUUCAUAGGUAUUUGAUGGUACAAAUCCAUGGCUGGGCUUGGCUUUAAAAAGGUCUCAUCUUAGAUUCCUUCUAUGGAACAAAGUUCCAUCAAAGCCAAUAUAAAAGACCUAUGUGAAAAUAAUUAUUCUUGCUGCACUUUAUACAAAUAAUCUGGCCAAAUAUAAUAAAGCAUACCAGUCCUACCAUGAAGAGAGAAAAAUUAUGUUUCAAAACUAUAGUAUACCUGUUAAAUUCUAGUCUUGCCUGAUUUUUUCAGUUUUUAUUGUUUUCUACAGUUUGGAUUAAAUUCUAAUUUUUUGGCUACAGGUCUCCAAAAUAAUGUUUUCAAUUUUUCCCUUUUUCUUUUCCUUUUCCCCCAUUCUUCCUAAUUGGAAAUCACUGAAACCUGAGCUGUGCUUUCGUAAAGCCCUGCAAACUUAAGACUAGACAACUUAAACUUUAGAAGAAAACAGCAGCAACCUCUUUAUAUGUGUUGCUGUUGCAUACUAUUCUAGGCCCCCGAAAUAGAGCCAAUAGAGGGAACAAAUCAACCACCUCCACUCCAGCACUGCAUUCAGUCCCCAUAAUGAUGACCCUCUCUCAGCAGGAAGUAGCCAGAAAGAUUAUGAUGCCCCAUAUCCCUAUGAUCUUGUGAUAAAUAAAUAUACAAGCAUGAUAGAAAUCAUGCACAAAUUGACAGUGGUGAUUGUGGCAGGCCAGGUCUCACUAAUGCAGGCCUGCAUUACAACAACUGUCCCAGCUCUGACUGAGUAGCUAGGUUAAACAUUAAAAGCUGAUUGAGCCAGUGCCCUUAUACAAAGGCUGGAAUGUAACAAAGAGCCCACCAAGAGUUUUGCCUAGGCUUUUCAUGGGCCUUGAAGUUUGACAAGAUAAUGAAGGAAUUCUUAACAGGACCCUUUUAGGAUUAAACAAGUUUUAUUGGGGGGUCUGAAGAAACUCCUCGGGCCUCCACAAACAAGUUUAUUGAGAUCUAAAGGAACUCCCCAAACCUCCAUGAUUUAGCAGGAGACAAGAUAAGGGUAAUCACCCCAGCACCUAGACCCAUUUAGAUUAAGUAAACUUACUGAGGCUCUAGAAGGUCUUCAGGACUCAGACCUUAGUUAUAGAUUAAAAGAAGUUAAUCACUUAUGUCUUUAGAUUAAUUCACUCAGUUACACAUAGACAUAUAGCUUAGAAGGUAUAUAAGCUCUGGAAAACUUUGUAAUUUUGAGUUGGUCUGGCAAUAAUUUCCAGGCCUUCUCCCUGUAACUGGUUACAGAAAUACUCUCUUCGUCCCCAGUUCAUCUGCAUCUCAUUAUUGGGCCACGAGAAAUAGCAGCCCAACCCCCAUAUUGGUUCAGGAACAAUGCCAAGAGCAUGCUGUAAUCCCCUCUAUACAGUAGUCCCCCUUAUCUUCAUAGAAUACAUUCCAAGAACUUCAGUGGAGCCUAAAGCUGCAGAUAGUACCAGACCCUAUAUAUAUUUUCUUUUUAUACAUACGUACCUCUGAUAAAAUUUUUUUAAUAAGGUUCAGCUAACAGAUUAACAAUAAUAACUAAUAAUAAAAUAGAACAAUUAUACUACAGUAAAAUCAUACGCAUGUGGUCUCUCUCGCUCCUUCAAAAUAUCCCAUUGUUCUGUAUUCCUGUGGCAACAGCUUCUUCAUUAGCAGACACAGCCUCUCUAGUAAUUUAUAUAUUUUUCAGUCCAAACCUAUUCCUGAAUCUGUUAACUAUCCCUUACUUGCAAUAAAUGGCUUGGUGUCACUCGUUUCAGGGGAUCCCUUGCUGUAGGGAUCAAUGCUUGUCUUCAUACAGGCUCAAUGCUUUCUGGUGCAACGUGUUGCCAAUCAAAACACAUUUCUUUUAAUGUCUCCCACCUGCAAACUGAAUGCCUUUUUCAUCUUAACUAAGCACUUAUCAUACUCUAUGGCCAUGACGUUUACAGUUUGAGGUGCUGUAACCAGCACAAAUAUAUUUUUCUUUACAAAUUCACGGGUAAAAGAUUUGUUCUUAUAAAUUUUGUUAAUUUCAGCAAUUUUUUUUUCUUUCCUUGUUAAGUCAAGAACUUUCACCUUUUCACUUAAGUGAAGCACUUUAUAGCUUCUCUUUGGCAUAUACGAAUUGCCAGCAUCACUACUCUCGCACAUUGGGACCAUUAUUAAGUAAAAUAAGGAUUACUCGAACACAAGCACUGCGAUACUGCAACAAUCUGAUAGCCAAGAUGGCUACAAAGUGACUAACGGAUGGGGAACGUGUACGGCGUGGGUACGGGGGACAAAGGGAUGAUUCACAUCCUGGGUGGGACAGAGCAGGACAGCUUGAAAGUUUACACCCUACUGAGAACGUCACACAAUUUAAAACUUAUUAUUUAUUUCUGGUGUUUUCUAUUUAAUAUUUUUGGACUGCAGUUUACCAUAGAUAACUAAAACUGCAGAAAGCAAAAGUACCAAUAAGGAGUGACUACUGUACACCAGUCUUCAUCUCAGAGUCUGUUUCCAGGGAAGCCCACCCUGAGGGAAUGAGUGUUCACAUCUAUAAAAUACAGGGGUUAUGCUAUCAGAAGCAUGAGUCAACAAAAGAAAAAUAGAUUGUACUUCAAAAUGAAAAGCCUUUGUAAUUUUACCUGGAAAUGGCUGGAGGUGAUGAUUGCACGGCAACUGACUGUACUUAAUGCCACUGAACUGUGCUCUUGAAAAUGGAUAAAAUAGUAAAUUUAUGUUAUGUCUAAUUUUACC